rnacentral:rRNA from 1 species
AGAGCGAACGCUGGCGGCAGGCUUAACACAUGCAAGUCGAACGCGUGUAGCAAUACACGAGUGGCGCACGGGUGAGUAACGCGUGGAUAUCUGCCUUUUGGUUCGGAAUAACCCCGGGAAACUGGGGCUAAUACCGGAUGGUUCCUACGGGAUAAAGAUUUAUCGCCAAAAGAUGAGUCCGCGUCCGAUUAGCUAGUUGGUGGGGUAAUGGCCUACCAAGGCGACGAUCGGUAGCUGGUCUGAGAGGACGGAUCAGCCACACUGGGACUGAGACACGGCCCAGACUCCUACGGGAGGCAGCAGUGGGGAAUAUUGGACAAUGGGGGCAACCCUGAUCCGAGCCAUGCCGCGUGAGUGAUGAAGGCCUUCGGGUUGUAAAGCUCUUUUGGCGGGGACGAUGAUGACGGUACCGCAGAAUAAGCCCGGCUAACUUCGCGCCAGCAGCCGC